rnacentral:ncRNA from 2 species
GGGAAGCCGGUGCAAUUCCGGCGCUGACCCGCAACCGUGAGCCCUUCCCCGCCCGGGAGUGGUGAGCCGGACC